AGAGAGACAAAUAUGAAAGAACUGCUCUACAUUUGGCCUGUGCCAGUGACCAUCCAGAAGUGGUGACUCUUUUGGUAGACAGAAAAUGCCAGCUAGAUCUUCUGGAUGGUUAUCACAAGACAGCCCUAGUAAAGGCUAUCCAGUGCCGGAAUGAAGAGUGUGUGAGCAUUCUUCUAGAGCAUGGAGCCAAUCCAAACAUUGCCGAUUACUGUGGCGAUGCUGCUCUUCAUUAUGCUGUUUAUGGUAAUAAUGUAUCAAUAGCAGAGAAACUACUUUUUCACAAUGCUCGUAUAGAAGCCAUAAACAAGGACUUGUGCAGUCACCAGAGAGAAAGACAGACAGACAGAGAGGAAUAAUGAAAAAUCGCUCUCCAGGGGAAUGAUCAAGCUGCAAUCCCUGUUCUUCCAUUUUUCCCAAAGAUUUUGAAAACACACACAC